GCAUCGAUGAAGAACGCAGCGAAAUGCGAUAAGUAGUGUGAAUUGCAGAAUUCAGUGAAUCAUCGAAUCUUUGAACGCACAUUGCGCCUCCUGGUAUUCCGGGAGGCAUGCCUGUUCGAGCGUCAUUAAAAUCACUCAAGCUUAGGUUUACCUAUUGCUUGGUCUUGGAGAUGGAAGCCAAUUCAUUGGAAUCCUCUUCGAAAUUCAAUGGCGAAGACCCUUGCUCUCCCAAGUGUAGUAAUAACUUAUGUCACUGAAGGAAGCGAGAAAUCUUCUGCCGUAACCCCCAUAUUUUCUAUGAUUGACCUCGGAUCAGGUAGGGAUACCCGCUGAACUUAAGCAUAUCAAUA
rnacentral:rRNA from 1 species